rnacentral:ncRNA from 1 species
CAAAUUCUGUAUUACAUUGGUGCAGCACGGGCGAGUAAUUACCCGUGAGAAAACUUGGCUAUAUGCUGGAAAUCUUGUGUGGUCUGCGCCCAGUACUUAUUUUUGCGAAAGUAAAAAUAAGUACUGGGUCCCACAAGACAAUCAGCAGGGAAGUCGCCCAGCACUUAUUUAUUCUCUUUAGAAUAAAUAAGUGCUGGGUUGACCCCUCAGAGACUACACGCCGAGCGCCAGCACUUAAUUAAGUGCUGGAUGAUGAUAUAGUCCGAUUCCUAUCGCGAGGUAGGU